AGGGAAUCUUCCGCAAUGGACGAAAGUCUGACGGAGCAACGCCGCGUGAGUGAUGAAGGUUUUCGGAUCGUAAAACUCUGUUGUUAGGGAAGAACAAGUACAAGAGUAACUGCUUGUACCUUGACGGUACCUAACCAGAAAGCCACGGCUAACUACGUGCCAGCAGCCGCGGUAAUACGUAGGUGGCAAGCGUUGUCCGGAAUUAUUGGGCGUAAAGCGCGCGCAGGCGGUCCUUUAAGUCUGAUGUGAAAGCCCACGGCUCAACCGUGGAGGGUCAUUGGAAACUGGGGGACUUGAGUGCAGAAGAGAAGAGUGGAAUUCCACGUGUAGCGGUGAAAUGCGUAGAGAUGUGGAGGAACACCAGUGGCGAAGGCGACUCUUUGGUCUGUAACUGACGCUGAGGCGCGAAAGCGUGGGGAGCAAAC
rnacentral:rRNA from 1 species